rfam:Triticum aestivum genome assembly, contig: Triticum_aestivum_CS42_TGACv1_scaffold_220853_3B
UGUGUACUCCCUCCGUUCCAAAAUACUUGACUUCCAUUUGUCCAAAAAUCGAUGUACCUAUAUACUAAAACAUGUCUAGAUACAUAUAUAUUUUGACAAAUAGAAGGCAUGUAUUGUGCAACGGAGGGAGUAGAAU